GCAGACGGCGACCUCGGCUCCACCGCCUCCAGCGAGCUUCCCAGCGGCCAACCCAGCCCGGAUGACUCCCUGACUAUGGUGGAAGGGGACGACGAUGAGGAGAGAAUACAAAAGGACCGCUGCGUUGAAAUCUAUCCGGAGACCAUGAGGCAGCGCAAGCCAAGCAAACGGCCCAAGGAGACGGUUCAAGCCAAGGACGGCGGAACAGGGCCGCCGGCAAGGCAAGCAGAGAGCCGUGCGCCGGUCAGGAGCGUUCUUCCGUCAGUCAAGGCGCUGAAAACCCAGUUUGAAAAGCCCUCGGCCCAAGAAACGCCAGCCGUCAACGGAGGACUGCCAUCUUCCGGAGGGAAGUCUGCCCCGAUCAACGCGUCGCCGCGGAGGUCACAUGCCGACGCCCCAGGCGGCCAUACGGGGCAGAGAGAGGUCACAGACGGUGAAACGGUCAUGGCACACAAGAUGGAUGGUAUAGUGCUGUCAAGUUCGGGACGAAAAUCGAGGAAAGGUUGCAGCCCCACUGCUCCGCUGGAAACUGUCUUCGACAAAUUUAGCGAUAUGGAAGAGGA